AGACUUGAUAGAGACAAUUGGAAAGAAAGAUGAGUGGAGGCCAUAAAUCUUUAAUAUUGCCAUUACAUUGCUAACACCUACAUACUAAACCAGGCUUCACAUGGCACUUUGGUGCUAAAGAGCUAACAUGACAUCACGGAGCCUCUUUAAGUGACCCCUGUCUGUUUGUAACCUACCCAGGGCCCGAGGUCGGCCCUGGGUGUCCCUGUCAGUGUGGCUCCGGAUGGGUCAGGAAACGCUGGACUGCUCCCUCUGUGCUCCCCAACGACCCCUGAGGAUCCCGAGGUGGCAUUUCCCCUCCGAUUAGUGCUAAAAAUACUGAGGCAGCUCCAACAGCCAUGGCCCCUGGGUGAUCAUGAUGGAGGGGAGGAAGGAAGCAGCUUUUCCUGCCCUCCUCUCGCCUCGAUGGCACAGCGUAGCCCCAGGACACAGCUUAAAGGGAGAAACCAAAACUCUCACUAGGUAACAACUUUGAUCUGCCUUUACCAAACUGUCAGGACGUCGGAUGCUUUGAACUUUGGGGCCCACGGGCAUGAUGCAGUGGAGGAUGUCACCAA